CCUCGCGAUUGCUGUAGCCUGGGCUGACUCUUCUCGCCCGGUUACUGCCACCUGGUUCUAAAUCAGCACGUCCCCAAAGUGCCUGAGUAUAAGAAGUGUCUGCCAGGCUGAUUGAAAGUGUAGAAUAACAGGUGAAGAAACUGAGGCACAGAGUUAGUUUAUUGCCCUAAUCACAAAGCUACAGGUGGAAGAGGAGGGUUUGAACUCAGAUUUCCUGAAUCCAAAUCUUGGUGAUGUUUAACCUAAGGUGUACUACAUCCUGAGAGCUAGCUGUCCUCAUACUCUAGGUGCCCACUUCUUCUCCCUGGAGGCAGCCAGUACUGUUAGUUGCCUGUAUAUUCCUCCAGAGAUGUUUUGUGCACAUGAUCUAGGCUGGGCAGAGAGGGCUUUGGGCUGCUUCCUUUUGCAAGCCAAGCACAGCCAUCCGCUCAGUUCAACAUGCGGAAAAUGCACCACCUUCAGGAAACGUGAAUGCAUCUGUGGCUCCGCGGUGAAUCCCACAUCUUUGCUCCUCAUGGAGAUGCAGGGACCCAAACCAUUCCACGAGGCCAUCCUCUGGGUGGAUUUCACUCCUGCCCCAUCAGCAGAAAGAGAAAUCUCAUUGACCUAAGAUGGUUGGAGAAGGCCUUUCUGGAGAAUGAACAUUUUUGAUCAGAGUGGAGCAGAGAACAAGAUCCAGUUGGCUUGGCCAAACAUGAUUCUUUUCCAUUAUCGGUUAUUACAAGAUACUGAGAAAUCCGAUUUCUUGACCUCACAAUAUUCCCUUUUCUUCAAACAUCACCCCAGGCUCUCCACUCAGCUCUGGUGUCUGCCGAAUCUCUAAAGGAAUUUCAAGACAGACAGUUAGCACUGGGGAGCCCAGCUUGGGUUGGAUUCUGCCAGUUUUCCAGAGCCAGUUCUCAGCUAUUUCUGGCUUGAACAGACCCAGGAUCUUCCUGCUUCCACGGGAGCUGCCAUUCCAGGAGGGCCUCCUGGGCACUUCCAUGGGCAAUGUCACCCUCACAACACUGAGAAACGGGUCUCAUCGUUGCCAUUUUACAAACAUGGGAACAGAAGUGAAGUGACUUGCCCAGGUUCCUGUAGGCAGUAAGUGAGCGGCACCAGGGAGCCGUGGAAGCCUCCUCAGCUGGGGAGUGAUGUUUCUGCGUCAUCAAACAUUUAUGACAAGACGGAGCAACACAGAGUGACUUGGAAUGAAUUCAACAGACCAAUAUUUUGAAAUCAGGGUGGCUUGACUUCCUUUAGAGAGAACAGUUCUCCCAUCUCUUCGAGGCAUCAUCCAGAGGAGGAAGAACAGCAAGGUUCCCAGUCCCAGAGAGCACAACUCUGGUCACACGUUCCAUUGUGACAGUGAUCCCAGAUCAGUGAUCUUUGAUGUUACUGUUGCAAAAUGAUUACAACUGGGAGUUCCUGCUGUGGCACAGUGGUUAAGGAUCUGGCAUUUCCUCAGCUUCGGCUCGGAUUCGAUCCCUGGCCCGGGAACUUCCAUAUGCCAUGGGUGCAGCAGGGGAAAAAGAGAGUUACAACUUGCUGAAGGCUCAGAUGAUGACUCACCGACCAUGAAGUAGCUUAACAGUCUUCUUCGAAUAAGUGAGAAGGAAGCUCCAUGUACCGAAGAGAGAGCCCUCCAGACCUGUGGUCAGACCUCGUUUCUCCUAUGACCUUAGGUCUGCCUGCUCUCCUGCUGAAGGGGAAAGCUCAUGUUGGCAAUGGCCAAGAAUUCCUCCAAAGAUUGAAAUUGCAGCUAGACCAGGAAAGUGAUCUGGCCGUAGGCGGAGUCCCCGCAGUAAAAGUGUUUCUGUAGCUGGGAGUUCACAGCUGCCGUAAAACCUAAAUGUCAGCAACUCCCGUGGUGUUGGAUCACGUGCUACCCCGCUUACAGCCAGCAGCCCUGACAUCGGGGCCAAGCAUCUCAGCAUGCAGAAGUUUCUGGGCCAGGGAUCAACCUGGUGCCACAGCAGGAACCAGAGUACAGCAGUGACAACUCCAGAGCCACCAGGAAACGCCCACAUUAACCUUUAAUUGGAGAAGUAAUUCACAGAAUACAUGCUCCCUGUAAAAGAUUUUAAAAGGUAAGCCCUAUAUCUCUUUUCACCACCUCUUCCAGUCUCCGAACCCCUCAGAGGCAGCCAGUUUUCAGUUCAGCAAAAGCUCUCAAUCAGUGCAUUUAAUUAGUUAUCCGUGUGCCUCUAUAAAAUGUGUAUCUGUGACCUAAGGAAAACUUGCAUAUUUCUGUACCUAUAGAAAAUGUGGAGGUUUUGUGUGGAUUUUUUUUUUUUACAUGAGUGAUAUCAUAUGGUACAUGUCUUAAUGUGAUUUUUUUCCCACAGCUGUCUGUCUCAUAGCCUUUAUUGUGUAUAUAUAAAUCUACCUUACUCUUCCAAAUGUUCCAUACAUUUCCAUGGGAUAGAUUUGGCCUAGUUUUGACUGCCAUUCUUCUAUGUACAAAUAUUUGGGUUGAUUUUUUGAUUUUUUAUUUCAUUUUUACAAAAAGUGCCAUGGUGCACAUUCUUUUACAGAAGCAAGUGUCUGAACAGAUUUUUUUUUUCCUCUAUAGAAGAAAUCAAGAAAUAGAAUUUCUGGGUCAUGGGACAUACACUGUUUUUAUUUUAAUGGAUAUUGCCAAAUUGCUGAGGUCAUUUUGAGUUUACUUUUAUCUUCUAGAUAAAAUCUCCUAGAAUCUUCUAGAAUGCCUUAGAUUGGAGCUUAAUUAUCAAAAUGUAAUUCUGAAGUAUUCUAUCAGGUAAGAUGGCAGGAAUGUGUAUUCAUUCCUUAGCCCAUCCGUCUCUGUCUUCUGAGGAUCCAGCAUGGCUCCUGAUAUGGUGUCGAGUCAAUAAAUGUUGCUUAGGUGGUCUCCUUUGCACCAGCCACACCCUCAAGGGGCCUCAGCCCGAAACCUGAUUCCUUUAUGCAGCUGCCAACCACCAGCUCAGCUUUCCAGACAGUGCUCAAAUAUCCCCUCUUUUUGGAAGCCCUCCCUGGAGUCCAGGCUGAGUAAGGCAGCUUCUCUUCUGUGUCCCCAUGGCACCCUUAUUUAUUGGCUUGUCAUGCUUAUUGCAAUUUGGAAUUUGGUCACCUCUCCCCUGUUACACCAGGCAGUCUCGGGAAUUCAGUGGUGCCUGGCCUUUAGGCAUCACCUGAUCAGUGUUUGUGGACUGCUGACAGAACAACAAGCAUGUAGGCCUGGCAGUCUGUCAGCUUGGAGAGAGAGAGGGCCAGGUGUAUGCAGUAUUCUUCAUAUCGAGCUUAAUAGGAAACGGCUGUAAGAAAUUAGAUGGCUAGGGUGGCUCAGUGGUAACAAACCCAGGUUCAAUCCCUGGCCCAGUUCAGUGGGUUAAGGAUCCCACAUUGCCGUGAGCUGUGGUAUGGAUCACAGAUGUGGCUUGGAUCCAGGGUUGCUGUGGCUGUGGCGUAGGCCAGCAGCAACAGCUCUGAUUCAACCCCUAGCCUGGGAACUUCCAUAUGCCACAACUGCAGCCCUAAAAAGCAAAAGAAAGAAGAAAAAAAAAUUAGGUGGCUAAUAAUUGACCCUUGACAGUGAUUAUGAUGCUGAUAAAAAUGAUGAAUGAUUGGUAAGAAGGGUAAAUAGUAAACUCUCUCACACAUAAAAAUUUAGAACCACAUCAUUUCACCUCUUGGGAAAAUGUUUAUAACACUCUUCACUUCAAUAUUUCGCCAUGAAACCUAGAAGUUUCUUAGGCAAUUUAUCUUUUCAAAUGCAUCUCAGGGAAUGACAAACAGUAGCCAGAAAGCUGCUCAAAGAGUUCGAGUAUGGCAGCUCAUGGUCAUAAAUCUCUGGGUAGGAUCCUGAUUCUGAAAAGAAACACGAGAAAAGACUGAAAUAAAUCUACCAAGGUGUUAAUCAUGGCAGCACCACUGGAGUUAGGGUGAUGUGUGAUAUUCUUUUCUUCUUUUUACUUUUCUCAAAUCUUUCAGAUUAUACCAUGUAUGUAAAUUCAUUUUACACACACAAAAAAACAAACCAAAACCGAAAACAGACAUAAUCAAAAACAUUUCUAGCAAUUAAUGAAGUUGCUAAGGAGGCAAUUUUAAAUCAUCUAUAAUGGGUGGACAUCUAUGACAUGAGAAUAUAAUUCCAAGAAGGCUAACCUGAGCUAUCAGUUCAUUUGAUAUGAAUUGGGUACUACAACCAAAGACUGUGCUUGGGGCGGGGCUUAAAGUGCAAACAUCAGGUAUACUUCCUACCCUCAGGCAGUUCACAGACUACUGCUAGCCACAAACUCAAGCCACUAAUGGGAGCCAGGCAGCAAAGAGAAAGGAAUGAAAUCCUCCAACAGGCCCUCCUCUAAUAUUUGCUAACAUUUGCUGGCCUUGGAAAAAGUUAAAUGGAAAUCCAUUUACCAGAUGGAUUUAAAACAAGUUAACAAAUCGAAGUGGCUUCUAGUUGUCUACCUUGACACAUGUCCCUUUAUAAUGGCUCUUCUUCUCUUCCCGUGCCUGACUCCAUCACCCAAAGUAGGGAACUUUGUGCAGGUGGAUGGACAGACAUCCUGGCCACACAUUUAAGCUUCAGUCCCUCCCCUUCCCCAUCCCCAGCUUUCUCUUGGCCACUUCUCAGGCACGGGGUAUGUUCCCUAGUAUACGAUUUGCCCUUGGGAGAACUAACUGAGAAAUAAGUCUCUGCAGGCUCUGGAAACAGGCUUGGGUCACAUGGGCAGGGAAUUCCAAGGCCCAGCAGCAUGAUCUAGAAGAGGCAGUGCUGCAUCCAGGCUGCAUGGGGUCAAGGGCAGAGGCCCACUUUGCCUGAAUCUUAGGGAAGCACUAUCCCCUGGGAGGGUUGGGACUCUGGUGUGUGCUGGAGAAUAAAUGCCCCAAGUUACAACAACAGCGGCUACUCAGCUCCAUCCAUGUGGGGACAUGGAUUCGGAGGGCCACAUCUUCUACUUUAUUUUAUUUAUUUACUUUCUUUUUAUAGCCACACCUGCAGCAUAUGGAAGUUUCCAGGCUAGGGAGUGAGUGGGAAUUAGAGCUGCCUACCUAUGCCACAGCCACAGCAACGCCAGAUCCAAGCCGCAUCUUCGACCCAUACCACAGCUCACAGCAAUGCCAGAUACUGAACACACUGAAUGAGGCGAAGGAUGGAACCUACAUCCUCAUGGAAAAUAUAUAUCAGGUUCUUAACCUUGAGCCACAGCGGGAACUCCCACAUCUUCCACUUUUUAAAGAGAGGACACAAACCUGGGCUUUCUUAUGGAAUUGCAUCAUUUUUACAUGUAAGCAAGGAAUAACAAUAAUUUUAAAACCAAAGAAUCAUUCUGCUGGGCAAAUUGAAAAUAUCCGUGAACCACUGUGACCUCUAUGAAAGGAAAGAAAUUUAAAAUCCCAUUUACAUGUUGCUUGACCACUGUUUGGUUUUGAAAAUGAUAUUCACCAAUUCAUUAAUGUCACUUAAGCCCAUAAGUAAGUGAUACAUCUCCGUAGCUAUAUAUAUGUCUGAACUUCAUGCACUUUCUGUUCCGCAGCAGAAAUCUAAUUUACUUGGUACUCCUAGUACUGAUGUAUGUCCCCAUAAGCUAUCAGGAAAGACCUGGUUUUUGGAUCUGCACAUUUUUCUUCCUGGACGUUGACUUUCCUCAUGUCCUCCUCUGGCCUACCGUAAUAACCUGGGCACAUACCUCUCGCUGCAUUUCCCAUAUUGUGCUAUCUUUAGCUCUAUACAUGUUUGUCACUUCAAGAAUUAUCUCCAGGAGUUCCCGUCGUGGCGCAGCAGAAACGAAUCCGACUAGGAACCAUGAGGUUGCAGGUUCGAUCCCUGCCCUCACUCAGUGGGUUAAGGAUCUGGCGUUGCCGUGAGCUGUGGGGUAGGUUGCAGACGUGGCUCAGAUCCCACGUUGCUGUGGCUCUGGUGUAGGCUGGCAGCUGUAGCUCCAAUUCGACCCCUAGCCUGCAAACCUCCAUAUGCCAUGAGUGUGGCCCUAAAGAGCAAAAAAAAAAAAAAAAAA
rnacentral:lncRNA from 1 species